AACGCACCUUGCGCCCCUUGGUAUUCCGAGGGGCACACCCGUUUGAGUGUCGUGAAAAUCUCAACCUUCUCGGUUUCUUCUGAACACCGAAGGAGGCUUGGACUUUGGAGGCCUUUGCUGGCGUCUCUCACCAGCUCCUCUCAAACGAAUUAGCGGGGUCCUCUUUGCCGAUCCUCGACAUGUGAUAAGAUGUUUCCAUGUCUUGGCUUUAUGGCUCUGUUGCCUUUGGGACCCGCUUCUAACCGUCUCAGCGAGACAACGUUCGAGCGUGUCUCCCCUCUCGGGGAAACGCUCUUGAACCCACGAAACCUUGACCUCAAAUCGGGUGAGACUACCCGCUGAACUUAA
rnacentral:misc_RNA from 1 species